CACGUAGGGGCGAGCGUUGUCCGGAAUUACUGGGCGUAAAGAGCUCGUAGGUGGUUUGUCACGUCGUCUGUGAAAUUCCGGGGCUUAACCUCGGGCGUGCAGGCGAUACGGGCAAUACUUGAGUGCUGUAGGGGAGACUGGAAUUCCUGGUGUAGCGGUGAAAUGCGCAGAUAUCAGGAGGAACACCGAUGGCGAAGGCAGGUCUCUGGGCCACUACUGACGCUGAGAAGCGAAAGCAUGGGGAGCGAACAGGAUUAGAUACCCCGUA
rnacentral:rRNA from 1 species